rnacentral:rRNA from 1 species
CAGUCGCCACGGGAAUACGUAGGGUGCGAGCGAUAAUCGGAAUUACUGGGCGUAAAGCGUGCGCAGGCGGUUUUGUAAGACAGGCGUGAAAUCCCCGGGCUCAACCUGGGAAUGGCGCUUGUGACUGCAAAGCUAGAGUGCGGCAGAGGGGGAUGGAAUUCCGCGUGUAGCAGUGAAAUGCGUAGAUAUGCGGAGGAACACCGAUGGCGAAGGCAAUCCCCUGGGCCUGCACUGACGCUCAUGCACGAAAGCGUGGGGAGCAAACAGGAUUAGAUACCCCCGUAGUCCCUGUCUCUUAUAC